GGUUCUAUGGUGUAAUGGUUAGCACUUUGGACUUUGAAUCCAGCAAUCCGAGUUCGAUUCUCGGUAGGACCU